CCUUGACAUACUAAGAACUUUCCAGAGAUGGAUUGGUGCCUUCGGGAACUUAGAUACAGGUGCUGCAUGGCUGUCGUCAGCUCGUGUCGUGAGAUGUUGGGUUAAGUCCCGCAACGAGCGCAACCCUUUUCCUUAUUUGCCAGCGGGUCAUGCCGGGAACUUUAAGGAUACUGCCAGUGACAAACUGGAGGAAGGCGGGGACGACGUCAAGUCAUCAUGGCCCUUACGGCCAGGGCUACACACGUGCUACAAUGGUCGGUACAAAGGGUUGCUACCUCGCGAGAGGAUGCUAAUCUCAAAAAGCCGAUCGUAGUCCGGAUCGCAGUCUGCAGCUCGACUGCGUGAAGUCGGAAUCGCUAGUAAUCGCGGAUCAGAAUGCCGCGGUGAAUACGUUCCCGGGCCUUGUACACACCGCCCGUCACACCAUGGGAGUUUGUUGCACCAGAAGUAGGUAGUCUAACCGCAAGGAGGACGCUUACCACGGUGUGGCCGAUGACUGGGGUGAAGUCGUAACAAGGUAAGCGUAGAUGA
rnacentral:rRNA from 1 species